GACGAACGCUGGCGGCGUGCCUAAUACAUGCAAGUCGUGCGGACCUUGUUGAAAGCUUGCUUUUCAAAGGUUAGCGGCGGACGGGUGAGUAACACGUGGGCAACCUGCCUGUAAGACUGGGAUAACGCCGGGAAACCGGGGCUAAUAUCAGAUCGUUUUUUCCUCCGCAUGGAGGAAAAAGGAAAGGCGGCUUCGGCUGCCACUUACAGAUGGGCCCGCGGCGCAUUAGCUAGUUGGCGGGGUAAUGGCCCACCAAGGCAACGAUGCGUAGCCGACCUGAGGGUGAUCGGCCACAUUGGGACUGAGACACGGCCCAAACUCCUACGGGAGGCAGCAGUAGGGAAUCUUCCGCAAUGGACGAAAGUCUGACGGAGCAACGCCGCGUGAGUGAAGAAGGCCUUCGGGUCGUAAAACUCUGUUGCCGGGGAAGAACAAGUGCCGUUCGAACAGGGCGGCGCCUUGACGGUACCCGGCCAGAAAGCCACGGCUAACUACGUG
rnacentral:rRNA from 1 species